GAUGAACGCUGGCGGCGUGUCUAAGGCAUGCAAGUCGAACGAGACUUUUCGUUGUAGCAAUACGAUGGAAAGUUUAGUGGCGAACGGGUGCUUAACACGUGGGCAACCUGCCAGGAAGUGGGGGAUAGCUCGCCGAAAGGCGAAUUAAUACCGCAUGUGAUUAGAGAGGACAUCCUUUCGAAAUUAAAGUCGGGGCAACCUGACGCUUCUUGUGGGGCCCGCGGCCUAUCAGCUAGUUGGUGAGGUAACGGCCCACCAAGGCUUUGACGGGUAGCUGGUCUGAGAGGACGACCAGCCACACUGGGACUGAGACACGGCCCAGACACCUACGGGUGGCAGCAGUCGAGAAUUUUUGACAAUGGGGGAAACCCUGAUCGAGCGACGCCGCGUGGAGGAUGAAGGUCUUCGGAUUGUAAACUCCUGUCAUUGGGGAACAAGGUGCAUACGUUAACUGCGUGUGCAUUGAUAGUACCCGAAGAGGAAGAGACGGCUAACUCUGUGCCAGCCGCCGCAGUAA
rnacentral:rRNA from 1 species